GAUGAACGCUGGCGGCGUGCCUAAUACAUGCAAGUCGAACGCACGCUCGAGUAGCUUGAUUGUCUUUGCUUCGGAUCGGACGAGAGUGUAGCGAGUGGCUAACCUGUCUGUAACACGUGGGUAACCUGCCCUAACGGGGGCUAUUACAUGUGGAAACUGUUACUAAUACCGUUUAAAACUGAACAACGCUCGUUCUAUGGCUUAUAGAUGGUUUCGGCUAUCAUUAUCUGAUGGAUCCGCGGUGCAUUAGUUAGUUGGUAAGGUAAAGGCUGACCAAGGCAACGAUGCAUAGCCGACCUGAGAGGGUAAUCGGCCACACUGGAACUGAGACACGGCCCAGACUCCUACGGGAGGCAGCAGUAGGGAAUCUUCCACAAUGGACGAAAGUCUGAUGGAGCAACGCCGCGUGAGUGAAGAAGGUCUUCGGAUCGUAAAACUCUGUUGUUAGGGAAGAACAUAUCUGUAAGUAACUGAGCAGAUCGUGACGGUACCCAAUCAGAAAGCCACGGCUAACUACGUG
rnacentral:rRNA from 1 species